AUCUUUACGCUUGGGGCAAUGAUACAGCUAAUGAGGUUCUAACUGAGACGCGUCUAUUGCUUGUUGAAAACUAUUUUCAAACCCCCUCUUCGGCCUGAGCUUGCUUUAGAAUUUCUGGAAGGGCUCCCUUUGGGGUAAAACC
rnacentral:snRNA from 1 species